GAGUUUGAUCCUGGCUCAGAUUGAACGCUGGCGGAAUGCUUUACACAUGCAAGUCGAGCGGCAGCGCGGGGCAACCUGGCGGCGAGCGGCGAACGGGUGAGUAAUGCAUCGGAACAUGUCCAUGUCGUGGGGGAUAGCCCGGCGAAAGCCGGAUUAAUACCGCAUAUGCCCGAGAGGGGAAAGUGGGGGACCGCAAGGCCUCACGCGAUUGGGUUGGCCGAUGUCCGAUUAGCUAGUUGGCGGGGUAAGAGCCCACCAAGGCGAUGAUCGGUAGCUGGUCUGAGAGGAUGAUCAGCCACACUGGGACUGAGACACGGCCCAGACUCCUACGGGAGGCAGCAGUGGGGAAUUUUGGACAAUGGGGGAAACCCUGAUCCAGCCAUUCCGCGUGAGUGAAGAAGGCCUUCGGUUGUAAGAC
rnacentral:rRNA from 1 species